CCCUCCCUCUGUCGGCAUGCCUAACACAUGCAAGUCGAACGAGACCUUCGGGUCUAGUGGCGCACGGGUGCGUAACGCGUGGGAACCUGCCCUUAGGUUCGGAAUAACUCCCCGAAAGGGGUGCUAAUACCGGAUAAUGUCUUCUGACCAAAGAUUUAUCGCCUUUGGAUGUGCCCGCGUUGGAUUAGCUAGUUGGUAGGGUAAAAGCCUACCAAGGCGACGAUCCAUAGCUGGUUUGAGAGGAUGAUCAGCCACACUGGGACUGAGACACGGCCCAGAAUCCUACGGGAGGCAGCAGUGGGGAAUAUUGGACAAUGGGCGAAAGCAUGAUGCAGCAAUGCCGCGUGAGUGAUGAAGGCAUUAGGGUUGUAAAGCUCUUUUACCCGGGAUGAUAAUGACAGUACCGGGAGAAUAAGCUCCGGCUAACUCCGUG
rnacentral:rRNA from 1 species